CAGUCGCCGCGGUAAUACAGAGGAUGCAAGCGUUAUCCGGAAUGAUUGGGCGUAAAGCGUCUGUAGGUGGCUUUUCAAGUCCGCCGUCAAAUCCCAGGGCUCAACCCGAAGCCUGCACGAGAAACUGCCGGGCUUGAGUAUUGGGGAGGUGAGUGGAAUUUCCGGUGUAGCGGUGAAAUGCGUAGAUAUCGGAAGGAACGCCUGUGGCGAAAGCGGCUCACUGGACAAUAACUGACGCUGAUGCACGAAAGCUAGGGGAGCAAACAGGAUUAGAUACCCCUGUAGUCCCUGUCUCUUAUAA
rnacentral:rRNA from 1 species